rnacentral:rRNA from 1 species
CAGUAGCCACGGGAAUACGGAGGGAGCUAGCGUUGUUCGGAAUUACUGGGCGUAAAGCGCGCGUAGGCGGUUACUCAAGUCAGAGGUGAAAGCCCGGGGCUCAACCCCGGAACUGCCUUUGAAACUAGGUGACUAGAAUCUUGGAGAGGUCAGUGGAAUUCCGAGUGUAGAGGUGAAAUUCGUAGAUAUUCGGAAGAACACCAGUGGCGAAGGCGACUGACUGGACAAGUAUUGACGCUGAGGUGCGAAAGCGUGGGGAGCAAACAGGAUUAGAUACCCCUGUAGUCCCUGUCUCUUAUAC